GAACGGCUCAUUACACCAGCUGUAAUUUACUUGACCUUGACAAACCUACUUGGAUAACUGUGGUAAUUCUAGAGCUAAUACAUGCACCAAAACUCCGAUCGCAAGAGAGGAGUGCAUUUGUUCGCCACAAAACCAGCGCCCUCGGGCGUCACAUUGCUGACCCAGAACAACUCAGCUGAUCGCACGGUCUUGCACCGGCGACGUGUCUUUCAAGUGUCUGCCUUAUCAACUUUCGAUGGUAGUGUACCUGACUACCAUGGUUGUGACGGGUAACGGAGGAUAAGGGUUCGACUCCGGAGAAGGGGCCUGAGAAAUGGCCACUACGUCUAAGGAUGGCAGCAGGCGCGCAAAUUACCCACUCUCGACUCGAGGAGGUAGUGACGAGAAAUAACAAGACCGUUCUCACAUGAGGCCGGUCAUUGGAAUGGGUACAAUUUAAACCCUUUAACGAGUAUCUAUGAGAGGGCAAGUCUGGUGCCAGCAGCCGCGGUAAUUCCAGCUCUCAAAAUGCAUAGAAUUAUUGCUGCGGUUAAAAAGCUCGUAGUUGGAUCUGUGCUGGCCGCCCGGUCUGCCCAUUGGGUAUGCACUGGCGCGGUCGGCUUUUGCUGCCGGUUUACGCCCGGCGUUGGCCUUCAUCGGUCGGCGUCGGUGGGCCGGCGAGUUUACUUUGAACAAAUCAGAGUGCUUAAAACAGGCGUUUCGCCUGAAUGUUCGUGCAUGGAAUAAUAGAAGAGGAUCACGGUCCGAUUUUAUUGGUUUUGCUGACCGAGAUAAUGGUUAACAGAGACAAACGGGGCCAUUCGUAUUGCUGCGUGAGAGGUGAAAUUCUUGGACCGUAGCAAGACGGACUACAGCGAAAGCAUUUGGCAAGAAUGUCUUCAUUAAUCAAGAACGAAAGUCAGAGGUUCGAAGGCGAUCAGAUACCGCCCUAGUUCUGACCGUAAACGAUGCCAACUAGCGAUCCGCCGGCGGAUUCAUUCGCCCUGGUGGGGAGCUUCCCGGAAACGAAAGUCUUCCGGUUCCGGGGGAAGUAUGGUUGCAAAGCUGAAACUUAAAGGAAUUGACGGAAGGGCACCACCAGGAGUGGAGCCUGCGGCUUAAUUUGACUCAACACGGGGAAACUCACCCGGCCCGGACACCGUGAGGAUUGACAGAUUGAUAGCUUUUUCAUGAUUCGGUGGAUGGUGGUGCAUGGCCGUUCUUAGUUA
rnacentral:rRNA from 1 species